GCUUAACACAUGCAAGUCGAGCGAGAAUCGUUUUGCUGAAGGCUUCGGUCUGACGCAGAAUGAGGAAAGCGGCGAACGAGUGAGUAACGCGUGGGCAACCUGGCUUUAAGAAAAGGAUAGCCCCCGGAAACGGGGAGUAAUACUUUAUGAGAAUGAGAGAGGGCAUCCUACUUUCAUUCAAAGCGCAAGCGCUUAAGGAUGGGCCCGCGUAUCAUUAGCUAGUUGGUGAGAUAACAGCCCACCAAGGCAACGAUGAUUAGCCGGUCUGAGAGGGCGAACGGCCACAUUGGAACUGAGAGGCGGUCCAAACUCCUACGGGAGGCAGCAGUGGGGAAUAUUGCGCAAUGGAGAAGGACUCUGACGCAGCAAUACCGCGUGAGCGAAGGAGGUCUUCGGAUCGUAAAGCUUUGUUAUCAGGGAAGAAGAAAAUGACGGUACCUGAUGAGCAAGUCCCGGCUAACUACGUGCCAGCCGCCGCUGUAAAAC
rnacentral:rRNA from 1 species